UAGAGGAAGUAAAAGUCGUAACAAGGUUUCCGUAGGUGAACCUGCGGAAGGAUCAUUACUGAACUGUUAACAUGAGUUGUUGCUGGCCCCCCAAACAGAGGCAUGUGCACACUCUGUUUACACAUCCACUCACACCUGUGCACCCUCUGUAGUUCUGUGGCCUGGGUGACUCUGUCCCCUUGCUGCUGUUCUGCAUCUUUACACACAUACACUGUAACAUAGUUUUGUGGAAUGUAUCCUGCAUAUUAUGCAAUACAAUACAACUUUCAGCAACGGAUCUCUUGGCUCUCGCAUCGAUGAAGAACGCAGCGAAAUGCGAUAAGUAAUGUGAAUUGCAGAAUUCAGUGAAUCAUCGAAUCUUUGAACGCACCUUGCGCCCUUUGGCUAUUCCGAAGGGCAUGCCUGUUUGAGUAUCAUGAACACCUCAACUCUCAUGGUUCGCCAUGAUGAGCUUGGACUCUGGGGGUCUUGCUGGCUCAUGGUCAGCUCCUCUUAAAUAAAUCAGCUUUCCAGUGUUUGGUGGCAAUCACAGGUGUGAUAACUAUCUACGCUUGUGGUGUCCUCCCAGGUAACCUUCAGCAAUGGAGGUCACUGGAGCUAAUAAAUGCACAUCUCUUGUUGUAGGGAUGGCCUUUUAGAUGUUUGAUCUCAAAUCAGGUAGGACUACCCGCUGAACUUAAGCAUAUCAUA
rnacentral:rRNA from 1 species